GAUGAACGCUGGCGGCGUGCCUAAUACAUGCAAGUCGAGCGAGGUAGCAAUACCUAGCGGCGAACGGGUGAGUAAUAUGUAGGUAACCUGCCCUUAAGACGAGGAUAACCAAGGGAAACUUUGGCUAAAACUGGAUAGGAACAUUGGAGGCAUCUCUGAUGUUUUAAAAGACCUAGCAAUAGGUAUGCUUAAGGAGGGGCCUGCGGCGCAUUAGUUAGUUGGUGAGGUGAAGGCUUACCAAGACGAUGAUGCGUAGCCGGACUGAGAGGUUGAACGGCCACAUUGGGACUGAGAAACGGCCCAAACUCCUACGGGAGGCUG
rnacentral:rRNA from 1 species